UCGUACUUAGUCAAGGGUCAGAUACUUGUCUCCCUUUAAGUUCCAAUGAUUAAACUUGCCAAACUCUUUCACAAUUCAAAUCUCUUUUGGACGUAAAAGAGUGGUUAGAAUAACAUUAUCCUCUCAACUCCCGGGUUCUUGGAUUGUAGAUUGUAUCUAGCCAAGGGUAUGAUGCUUGUCUCUGUACAUAAAAUCAAGCCCAACAAAUCAAAUCAUAUUUUGCC
rnacentral:lncRNA from 1 species